UUUAAGGACAUGAGCGGAUUUUGCUGAUCUUGAACGAGAUAAGUUGAAGUUGGAUAUGUUCAUAACAUGGUCAGGUCAUAAAAAACUUGCUUCAUCUGUUUAGUUUGAAAUAGUUUCAGAGAAAGCAAUAUAAAGUACCUUUGCCUCAAGUUAUUCCCUUAUAAGUUAUGAACGUACAGUGGUAUGAUAAUGUCAGUACCAUCUGUGCGCGUGUUAAACAUUCAGGUGAUUUAGCAUAUAGACAUUUUGCAAGGAAACCAGUGUUUGUAAACUUAACCGGGCAAUUCUUGUUUUGCAGCUUGGAGGAAUGGGUUGCCAAAUCUGCUCUAAAUGAAACCCUCUUGAUUCUCCACACCGGAGCCUUAUGGACUGGAUAGAUGUGGAGGUCGACUGUUGAUGAACUGAUGCAGCCGAUAGAUUUUGAAGGUAGUGAGACAAGCCGUACGAGCUGCGAGCAAGAAUCCAAGGUGGGAGUUUUCCCCAAAAGAGAGCAACGUGACUGCACACAAUCGGAAACUCAGCAGUGGGCAAAGUAGAUGAACUCGGUCACCUCUCAGCAGAGGAAGUCGAUGCAGUCACUCAACUCUAGGUGAAAUGGAUGCAGCCAGUCAUAAGAGCGAAGUAUUCAGAGCAUUGCGUUAAUUGCCUACUCCAAGUGGAUCGUGUGAUUAGGCACAAUGAAAUGGGAGAAGCCUUCUGUCUUCCUCGUGCCCUUUCCAAGACGACUUUUCGUUCACUUGGCUAUGGCUGAAGUGCAAGUUUAUUCUUAACCGUUGGAGUCUGACGUCAUUAACGUAGACAUGGUAUACUUCGAUACACGGGGACUUAGCCAAGAUUUCCAACAAAAUGGGCGAAUUUUCUUCAGCCUGUGACAAAUGAUAGCAAGGUUAGAAGAAUACGCACCCGGGAAAAAAUGCAAAGGUCAUGUGUUUCAGGGGAACUGACCAAGCGGAGGCCAUGACACUCGAGGGAACAAAAAAUUCUGAGAAAUCACAGUCUUCUCAUGGGCCUGGGAAAUAAAGUGUACCUUGGGGACUUGAA